ensembl:lncRNA
GGCAACUUCUGGAGCACUCUAAAACGGCAAAGGAAGCUGCAUCUCUCUCCUCAGCUCGCUUAAUUUUCUUAAAUUACGGCUCAACUUCCUUUAAAUCCCUGCUAAGGAACUUUUUUUUUCUUCUUUCCCAGUUUGAUUUUCAUACACUCGGAGAGGGUCGAAGAGCAGAGAAAUAACAGAACACCGGAGAGAGAAGUGGAGGCCUGUGAUUAAUAAAUGCACACGGCAAUGAAAUGUCUGUCAUUGGUACAGACUUUUCCCCCUGACGCUCGGGUUACACCGACUCAAACAGCGCUUGUCCACGCUGGUGAGUUCCCAGUUCCUACCCUUCCUGUCUGCGUGGCGGGUAAAGGAGGGAGGCCAGGCCGCUACGGCAUGACGGCCGGUGGCACCGACCCUGCGUUUCCAUCGGCGCCUGCCGUCCGCGCCAAGCCCGAAAGAGAGGAAUCCACGGGGUCAAACAAGGGUCGGGGUCUGAGAACAUUCAAAUCCCUGGCACCUCUUUCAACCUCCGAGGACCUCAGCUGCUGCACAGCAACAACUAAUCAACGUUUCCCCUAAUUAAGCCACAUUGCAUCAGCGGUCUCUCCCGGCGAGGCAGCUGCUGGAGAGAUCAGCGCCUGCGUUCGCAACGCACCCGCUGAGAAGCCGAGCGCCAUGGGAGAACACUCCCAGAUCAUUUCCAUAAAUAUGAGUGAUAUGCCUCCGUUCCUCUUCGGUGUGCAAGUCCCUGAGGGAGGAUGUGGGGAUUAGUGCGUACGGCGUAAGAGCAGACUAGUAAGUUAUCUGAAAAUUCGUUUCUGUAUUUAUUCUGAUUUUCUUAGUCAAGUUGCAAAGAUAAACAUUUGAAUGAGGAUGGUAUUUGAGCCCCUCACUGGUAAACACUUUGUUGCGGAAAAAAAACAACAUUGCUAAAUGUGUAAAACUAGACAAAAAAAAGUAGUGAAAACACAUCUAUGGUAUUAGGCAUUAAUAAGGUCAAGUGAUAUCGGUCACUUAUUAUUUGACGUAUGUGUUAGUUGUAUAACAACAAGGUGCCUUAAACUACUCUAUUUGUCUUUGUUGAUGAAAAAGGGACUCAAGAAAUACUGAAAAAA